rfam:Aureobasidium subglaciale EXF-2481 unplaced genomic scaffold scaffold_1, whole genome shotgun sequence.
GGAGAUAUGGCCGAGUGGUUAUGGCGCUAGUUUCAGGCAAUGAGCUUACUAGUGGGCAACUGCGUGGGUUCGAAUCCCACUAUCUUCA